rnacentral:lncRNA from 1 species
AUGCCAUUUGACACUGAAACUUGUUCAGAGAAGACAUGGCUGGAAGGAAGUGUAAAAGGUCCUGAUGCUUGGAACCGCAGAAAGCUUCUUAUGCCUGUGAAACAAAAGCAAGGAGAAACACAGAGAAGUGGAACCAGAGUCCUGAUAUUUCUAGGUCACCAGAUUUACCAGUUCUGGAACCAUCCAACCAUAGGCUUAUUUCAGAUGAGGUAAUAAAGACUUUUAUUGUUAGAUUAACUUUUCUAUUUUUUUUUUUCUUUUGGUAGCUGAAUGCAUUCCAACCUGACAGUUGAGAAGUGACUUAAAGAUAACUCAGUGGAGUGAUUCUAGGUGACUCUUCUAAAAUGCUGUACUGUGAGGAAGAUAAAAUUAGCUAUUAUUUAGAUGGAGAUGUGGCAUCAAGGAAAGGUUCUUUUUUAACUGGAAGACACAUAACGAUAUCAAGUUAAUAAUAAUUAUUUUUCAGAAAAAUUAAUACUAACAUUAGAGAGGAAAUUAUAAUUGAGAGAGAAAUGUUAAGGUUAUAGGCAAGAGAAUAUGGACUUGAUUGAUCAGGAGAAGCCUUUGGAGAAAGAAGACCACUUCUUUUCUGAUAGGAGGCAAGUUGGCAAAGGUGGAUGAAUGUAAUGUUUAAGUCAUAGGUAGAGUUCAUGGCUCUUAUUCAGUUCUCUCUCCAACUCUUUACUGUAUUUAUUUUGUUCAGCAACCAGAACAGAAUGUUAUGCUUUGAAUCAUCAUUGAGUGACAAUAUCAAGGAUUUCUCUCAAUAGUCAGAAAAAAAUGCCCACCAGAAAAAAUAAAAGUAUCCUCAAUAUGUAAAUGUCCAGAUGAGGGACAGUCUGCAUAUUUUAAACAGAAAAAUAGCAGCUGAUUAGGUCAGUAAAUUGUCAAAAAUCAGACUUGUGGCCAGCUGGCUUAUCGAAGCACAUAAUGUUCUGGAGAACCCAGGAGUCAAAUUGGUACCAGCUGAGGAGAGAGAUAUUGGGCAGAAUGCCAAACUAAAUAAAAAAGAUAUAAGGAAAGGAAAAAUUCUGAGUAGAAAAUAAAAAAUGGAACAUACCAAAGAGUUAUUUGAUAGUUGUUUUUAAAGAUACAACUGAAGAGGUUUUCACUUGAAGCCUCAAAGCUCAAAAAGUGUUCUCUCAUUACACUCAAGGGAGGAAUGGAAACAUUUCAACUGGCUACAGUAGGAACAUACCAGGAAACCUCAGUCUGUUAUGUACAUGAUUUCCAUAAACUGACAUUCUGCAUUUAGCUCUUUCUUAACUGGAUGGUACCAAGAAAUGAAAUCCAAGAUCCAUCACUGUAAUUAACUUGAUUAUGCAAUGGCAAUACUUUCCUCCCCCAAAGUUACAAUGGUUAUUAAAUUGUUACUGAACAUUGAAAACUUAGAAUUGAUUCUUAAAUGGAACUGCAGUAGAUUAAAGGUAUGCUUUUUCAUUUGAAAAUAUACCUCUCUUAUAAGAUUCUGCAUACAAAAACUCAUGCCUCUAACAUUGUUUCCAGAUGUACUUCUGGCAAACUUUUAAUUUUUGAUUUAGCUAAACCUACUUUUUAAACCAUGUGACUGAUUAUAUAUUAUAGAAUAGAACCAUUUUUAAGGCUGAAAGUCAAAAUAGGAGAUACUAGUGAUUGCAUAUUUAAGUGAUUUCCCAUUCCAGGAUGAUAUGGAGUGCAAGAAUAAUAAUGAUCCCACCCAUAGCUUAAUCUCUUGAUAUGCAUGCCAAAAAAUUUAAGAAUUGAAUUAUUCUUUCCCUGAUUUAUGUAUUCCAAGGGCAAUGGGAAACCAUUAAUGAAACCCUACAUCUUUCAAAAAGUGAUUAAUCAGGUACAGAAGAAUUGGCAAGUGCUCAAAAAAAAAAAUCUUAUUUAGUUUUUGGGCCAAAACUAUAAAUUAUUUUCAAAUUAUUUUCAGCAGACACUUCAAUGCUCCAAUGCACUAAGAAGAAUUCUAUUUUUUCAGCUGGAAGAUGUUCCUCUUGGCAUAAUAUCAAAUCUACAAAAGCACAAGCAAAAAAAAAAAUGAGAGAAAGUAAAACAUUUAAAAUAUUAUAAGUGUGAGGCUCUAAUAUCAUAAUGGCAGAGUACAUUUUUACAAAGAAUUAAAAUUCUUUUCUUUAUCUUUAUGUUUCUGAGAACACUAUUCAAGUUAGUUAAUUAGCUAAAUAUUUGAAGAGUAUUUGAUUUUGUUUAAGUGAGGGACGAGUACUUAUACAUCGGAAAUGCCUUUUCUACCACUUCUAUUUUCCCCUUUCCCCUGUAUCUCUAUUUUUAUAACCUAAAGAUAGGUUAAAUAAACUGGCAUUAAUAAAUCAAUGACACCAGGCUCUAAAAUAAAUAAAUAAAUAAACAAAAACUUAUGCA